rnacentral:rRNA from 1 species
AGUGAACGCUGGCGGUAGGCCUAACACAUGCCAGUCGAACGGCAGCACAGUAAGAGCUUGCUCUUACGGGUGGCGAGUGGCGGACGGGUGAGGAAUACAUCGGAAUCUACUUUUUCGUGGGGGAUAACGUAGGGAAACUUACGCUAAUACCGCAUACGACCUACGGGUGAAAGCAGGGGAUCUUCGGACCUUGCGCGAUUGAAUGAGCCGAUGUCGGAUUAGCUAGUUGGCGGGGUAAAGGCCCACCAAGGCGACGAUCCGUAGCUGGUCUGAGAGGAUGAUCAGCCACACUGGAACUGAGACACGGUCCAGACUCCUACGGGAGGCAGCAGUGGGGAAUAUUGGACAAUGGGCGCAAGCCUGAUCCAGCCAUACCGCGUGGGUGAAGAAGGCCUUCGGGUUGUAAAGCCCUUUUGUUGGGAAAGAAAAGCAGCAGGUUAAUACCCCGCUGUUCCGACGGUACCCAAAGAAUAAGCACCGGCUAACUUCGU